GGGUAAUGGCCUACCAAGGCGACGACGGGUAGCCGGCCUGAGAGGGUGACCGGCCACACUGGGACUGAGACACGGCCCAGACUCCUACGGGAGGCAGCAGUGGGGAACAUUGCACAAUGGGCGAAAGCCUGAUGCAGCGACGCCGCGUGAGGGAUGACGGCCUUCGGGUUGUAAACCUCUUUCAGUAGGGAAGAAGCCCUUCGGGGUGACGGUACUUGCAGAAGAAGCGCCGGCUAACUACGUGCCAGCAGCCGCGGUAAUACGUAGGGCGCAAGCGUUAUCCGGAAUUAUUGGGCGUAAAGAGCUCGUAGGCGGUUUGUCGCGUCUGCUGUGAAAGACCGGGGCUCAACUCCGGUUCUGCAGUGGGUACGGGCAGACUAGAGUGCAGUAGGGGAGACUGGAAUUCCUGGUGUAGCGGUGAAAUGCGCAGAUAUCAGGAGGAACACCGAUGGCGAAGGCAGGUCUCUGGGCUGUAACUGACGCUGAGGAGCGAAAGCAUGGGGAGCGAACAGGAUUAGAUACCCUGGUAGUCCAUGCCGUAAACGUUGGGCACUAGGUGUGGGGGACAUUCCACGUUUUCCGCGCCGUAGCUAACGCAUUAAGUGCCCCGCCUGGGGA
rnacentral:rRNA from 1 species